GGCUCCUUCAUCUAGUGGUUAGGAUACCACCCUUUCACGGUGGUUACAGGGGUUCAAAUCCCCUAGGAGUCACCAC
rnacentral:tRNA from 2 species